CACUUCUCUAAGCGCAUCCAUUAACCUUGCAGCUGGGUAAUUAACAUCCGGGGACAGGAACCGUAUCAUGGCUUCUGAUCCUACAAUUUUCACUUCCAAUUCCAUUGCCUUGGCUUUGUAAGCUGAAGAGGACCUGAUGUGAUCAAUCAUGGAAUCGGUGCUCUGAUUGUCGGUGACGCUUGUAAUCUUGGAUUUCUUGGAUACCGCUUGUAGUUUGGACUCCAAUUCAUCAACCUUGGCCUUGAGCUCCUUGAUGUAAGUAACAGCAUCUGCUAGCAGAGAUGCUUUGUCCAUCUUUGACACAUUAGGAACGACAGAUCGGAGUGCAUAGAAUCUAUGAUUCAGCCUCUCUCUACGCUGCCUCUCCGCUUCAACAUGGUUCAGAGUCAAUUCUUUGCCGUUCAGUUGGGUUCUUCCUCUUUUCUUGAGCCGAUCAGUAUUUCCAGCGGCGAAAUUGCCUUCAGAAUCAGAACGUGCCGAGUCAGAUGAUGAGCGGCCUUGACCUGUGGGAUCUUUCUUUUUGUCGCCUUCAUUUUGCUUCUCCGCAGAAGUGUCCUUUUGAGAAGCUGAAAACAUGCCAAUAUCAAGGAAAGAAGUAUUAGGAAUCUGAAGCUGUGACUCGUGGCUCCGCGCAGGCUGUGUCUCCCCCGAACAGCGAUUUGCAGAGUUGCACUAGGCUCCAAUCUUUAUCGAUCGUGUUCGAGGAGCCCAAUUCAACAACUGCACAAGAGGUUGAAAUACAGACCAAAGUC
rnacentral:misc_RNA from 1 species